rnacentral:other from 1 species
UUUAUCCUGCGUGGUGCGUGAUAUUGCGAUAUUUGAACCUACACACACUGCUAGGGAGUCCGGAACUUCCGUCUUCGGGAUGCAGGCCUCCCGCCGAGGGCGCAUUGCUUUGUGCUGCCCCCUCCAAGCGGACGUUGGAAGCGCAAAGAGACGGAGAGGACACCCACCUGGAUAUACCGGGUUAAACCUUUGCUUUACACGGCCAACGCGGGAGUCUA